rnacentral:rRNA from 2 species
UGGGGAAUAUUGGGCAAUGGGCGAAAGCCUGACCCAGCAACGCCGCGUGAUUGAAGAAGGUCUUCGGAUUGUAAAGAUCUGUCCUAUGGGACGAAAAAAAUGACGGUACCAUAGGAGGAAGCCCCGGCUAACUACGUGCCAGCAGCCGCGGUAAUACGUAGGGGGCUAGCGUUGUCCGGAAUUACUGGGCGUAAAGGGUGCGUAGGCGGCACUUUAAGUUAGAUGUGAAAUAUCCGGGCUUAACCUGGAGGGUGCAUCUAAUACUGGAGUGCUUGAGUGCAGGAGAGGAAAGUGGAAUUCCUAGUGUAGCGGUGAAAUGCGUAGAUAUUAGGAGGAACACCAGUGGCGAAGGCGACUUUCUGGACUGUAACUGACGCUGAGGCACGAAAGCGUGGGGAGCAAACAGG